GUAGGUGAACCUGCGGAAGGAUCAUUAACGAAUAACUAUGGCGUUGGUUGUAGCUGGCUCCUCGGAGCAAUGUGCACGCCCGCCAUUUUUAUCUUUCCACCUGUGCACCGACUGUAGGUCUGGAUACCUCUCGCCUCCGGGCGGAUGCGAGGGUUGCUCGUAAGGGCUUCCCUUGAACUUCCAGGCUCUACGUCUUUUUACACACCCCAAUAGUAUGAUGCAGAAUGUAGUCAAUGGGCUUCUCAGCCUAUAAAACACUAUACAACUUUCAGCAACGGAUCUCUUGGCUCUCGCAUCGAUGAAGAACGCAGCGAAAUGCGAUAAGUAAUGUGAAUUGCAGAAUUCAGUGAAUCAUCGAAUCUUUGAACGCACCUUGCGCUCCUUGGUAUUCCGAGGAGCAUGCCUGUUUGAGUGUCAUUAAAUUCUCAACCUCACCAGUUUUCUGAACUGACUGAGGCUUGGAUGUGGGGGUUUGUGCAGGCUGCCUCACCGGCGGUCUGCUCCCCUGAAAUGCAUUAGCGAGGUUCAUGCUGGACCUCCGUCUAUUGGUGUGAUAAUUAUCUACGCCGUGGACGAGGAUACAGACUCGCUUCUAACCGUCCGCGAGGACAAUACCUUGACAAUUUGACCUCAAAUCAGGUAGGACUACCCGCUGAACUUAAGCAUAUCAAUAA
rnacentral:rRNA from 1 species